AGCAAUUAACUCUAAAUUAUGACAAACAGGCUCUUAAUGUAACGCUCUUCACAUUUCGCUUUUAACUUCCUAAUUCUUCGAUUGUUUCAAGCGGGCAUUUGACUAUAUGCUGAAAUCCAGCUAGUAAAACCAUCGGAGCGCGGAGGAGAGCACAGAUAAACCACCGAUGGAAGCGGUAGCGGAGGGGUUGUGGGCACUGGCCGACUACCACGAGCAGAAAAG
rnacentral:lncRNA from 1 species